UCCUACACACAUGGUUGCAGUUUGAGAAAUUCUCUGGAUACAACUGUGGGUCCUAUGUGGGAGUUCCAGUGCUUUUAGCAAUUAUUGACUCUGUUUCUGGAUAUACCAGUUGAUACACUAUUGUACUUUUAAAAUAGGCAUUUUAACCGAGUGUACCGAACUAAUCCAUAUGUUCAGGCGGACUAAGUAAAGUCUGACCAUGAAGUCAAUUUUUAAAGGAAUAUUACCCCUUUUUUAUACAAUGACUUUAAUUAUAUAAAGGUUGAUCAUAAUACUCUUUAUGCAGAAUUAUAGAGUUUAUAGGUGUUUCAACACAAAAACAUUUUUUGUUACCCCUGAUGAAGUCAAACUGACGAAACGCGUUGGGUUUAUCAGUCAUUAGUCAGUAUUCCAGAUAGGAAAAUUACUCCCUUUGCCAAGUGCACACCUUGCUAAGGUGAGGGAGUUUAUACAUCUACCUACUGGAUGUUUCUGUUGUCAGAGUUACUAAAAUCUAUGUACAAGCUGUUGUAAAAUUUUCACGCUAAAGACUUUUAUGAAUUUCUUUGCAUUAAAUAUUUUUAUUCUAA